GUAACCGCUCAAUGUGUU
rnacentral:snRNA from 1 species